rnacentral:tRNA from 1 species
GUUUUAAUAAUUUAAUAAAAAUAUAGGUUUUGUAAACCUAAUUUAAGAAAAUAUCUUUUAAAACA